rnacentral:rRNA from 1 species
UACAGAGGGGGCAAGCGUUAUUCGGAAUUAUUGGGCGUAAAGGGCGCGUAGGCGGCCUUGCAAGUGGCGGGUGAAAUCCCUCGGCUUAACCGAGGAACUGCCUGCCAGACUGCAAGGCUCGAGACCGGGAGAGGUGAGUGGAAUUCCCAGUGUAGCGGUGAAAUGCGCAGAUAUCAGGAGGAACACCGGUGGCGAAGGCGGUUCUCUGGGCAUGUUCUGACGCUGAGGAGCGAAAGUGUGGGGAGCGAACAGG